UCAAGGUCACGGGCAGGGGGCUUUUUGUGUGAUAAAUGCACUUAUUUCUCUUUAAACAGGCUUUGUUUGCUCCUUGGCUUUAGCUUUCCAUCAUCCCUGGGGUCCCUGCAGGAGACUGGAGGGGUCACUCCUCCCUGGCUGUGGGUUUGAGAUGUUUGCUGCUGUCACAGUGGUGCCACAGCCUCUCAGAGCUGCCCAGACCUGCUGCUGCUGCUGCUGGUGUUUGUGAGGCUCACAAACACGGGGGCAGGAGCUCUGCUGUGGGAUGCUACCAGGGAGAGAAAACCUGAGGUUUCUGAGCUGGUGGGCUGCGCUGCUGAGCACAUUCCGACCUUUGUUCAUCACGUCUCUCCUCCUUUGGCUGACUGAGACAGCAUCCUGGAGAUAUUUUUUUCCUGGGGUUGAGUUCCAUAUGUGCCUGUGCCUUUGCUAAGUUGAGCCCCGUGUCCCCGAGCUGAUUCAUUCCAAUGUAGCAGAUUUUGUUUGCCUUUCCUUCCUUCUAAGCACACUUAGUACAAACAGUCUAAUUCCUAAAUUAGCUCAGAUUAUCUUUUAAUGAAACCAGAGUAUCUGAGUUAAGAAGUGCUGAGAAAAAGUGAACUCAGGGCAGAAUCAUGCUGCAGCUCAUGCCUGGUGGAGAAAUCUGCAGAAAUAUCAGGUCUUGCAGUUAGUCUUUAUUUAACAGAGAAAUUGCUUAUUUGCCACUGUUUCCAGGAGAGGAAAACUGAUCUGAGGAUGUGGAAAUCAGUGGAGAUGCUGAAUUUUAUUUCACCCCUUUCCUUGGCCCAGAGAGUGCAGCAAUCUUUAAGUCAAUGAGGGGAUUUUUUUUGUUGGCUUCUGUUUCCUUGUUUCCAUUUCCCCUGCUCCUGUCACGUCCAGCCAAUCCCAUACCAUCUGUGCUUUGGCACACACUGCAGUCAACAGGAAUUUGGAGUGAAUUUUCCACAUCAGGACAGAAGUGGAACAGCUCUGCUGAAGGGAUGCAAAUGCAGCAAGAGCUGGAUCUUUGGAUUCCUUCCAGGAGUUUUGUGCUCUAACUCAGAAUGCAGCGGAGAUGAGAGAGCAUCCGAAAUACCGCAGAUGCUUGAGCUCUUCAUGACUAAGGCUGGGAAUGUGUCACAGCUGUCACCGGAGCCCGGGAUGGCACCAGCCACGCUCAUUCACUGGGGUUUCGUGGCUUUUGCCAGCCUGGAUGGGGUUUUUGUGCUGCUGAAUGGGUUUGUGAGCCGAGAUGAUUACGUACAGUGGGCGAACAGCUGGAACCAGCUUCAUUAGAGAAUAGCUCUUGGUGGCUGCAGAGUGGAAAGCCAAUAUUAGCCAUGUGGAAGUUGUUUUCCUGCAUGAUCCAAGCCUCUGGAUGCUGCUCUGUAUUCUCCAGCUUUUUGUUCUCUGGCUUGUUGCUCGUUCCACAGCUGGAUGUAGCAAUGAGAGUCAUGGAAAAGAGCCUUCACAGGCUACCAAAGUCUGAGUUUCAUUCAGGAGAAGAGAAGACAAGCACAUCACAGCCUUUUUCGUGCAAUCCCUGACAGAUUUUCACCUCUGGUAUUCAACUCAUUCCAUUCUCUCUGCAGGGAACUUGCAGGUCCCUUUUGCUAAGAUAAUUUUUAUGAUGCUGACCCGAAGUGGGAUCCAGCUCUCAGAUCAAGACACCUGAAAACAGGUUUUGAAGCGUUUCCUGUAUCUGAGUGCAAAACUCCUGUUAAAAUGAAAGGAGAUUUAGGACAUGAUUCAGCCACUUAAACAGAGGUGUUAAGUGUCCUUUGAGAUCCCCUGGGGUAUCUAACAUCCACCAGGGAUUUGUCAGGGUGAUGUUUAUCUACAGCACAUCAUUUCCCCUCUUUAUGAGGGCAGGUUAAAUACCCUGGGGUGUUGCUGCACCAAACACCAGCAUUUCAGCUACUGAUUCUGGCCUCUGGCCAGUGCCCAGUCAAUGUGGAUAAAUACAGUUAUCUACUACAGACUGUAAUCUCUGUAGCUCUUCAGCCUAAAAAGUCUUCCAUAAACACCACUCAAAUGGUUUCAGCUGCUGUCUGAGUCCUGGCCUGGCUUUCUGAUCCCUCCUCCUGUUGGUGUAGAGUGAAUCUGAUCAAAUCCUGGUCUCAGUGCUCUUACCAAACACACAAAGAAUUGGUUGAUUUUCAUGCACUGUCAUGCAGGGAUUGGAAAUACCUAUUUGAAUUUCUGUCUUGGAUCUCAGUUAAGACAGUGGGCCAUAAAAAAAACCCAAAAAAACAAAAAACAAACAAACAAACAAACAAACAAAAAACCAAAAGAAAACCCCAAAAAAUUACAUUGUAGGUGUAUCUAUUUAGCUCCAAAUUAUUCCUGGAAUCAUUUUUUCACGAGACAACCUCAAGACAACAUUUGACUUUCUCCAGAUUCAGAUACCACUGACAGCUCCUGGAUUUUGUUGCCCAGAUUGCUCCCUCCUUCUAGGGACAGAAACAACUUCUGGAUUCUUUGAAUGUUUGCGAUUCACCAGCUCCAGUCUGGAGUUUUUCCAUGUGAUUAUUUUUCCCAGCUUUCUUGAGAUGCAGAUUCCAUCCACACGCAGUUUUGCAUUUUUAAUGUGAAAAACUUUUCUGUCCAGGUUCCAAAGUGCUGUUGGCUUUACUAGCAGGUUGUUUCAGUUUUUCCAAGCUCUCCUGUCUGAAAUAAAAAUGUCAACUGCACCCUUUCUUUGGUGAAGGUUUGUGUGGCUUUUGCGUGCUUUCAUUUUUCUGGCAUGUUCUCUGUCUCCAGAAAACACAGAGGUGGGUCCAAGGUGAUUAAAGCAAAACAUGGCCUAUUUAGAGCAAAACUCUCCAAAGCACCAGGGUUUAAUAUUCUUCUGAUAGACUCAGCAUCUUCCAGGUCCUCUUGGGGAGCUUUAUGUGCAUCAGUUUGGAAAACUUCUGAUUAAAUUCUCUCUGGAAGAAAAAUGGUUUUUUAUCUUCCCUGGAUCCAUCUCGAAAAAUAAUUCUCACAUCUUCCUAGCAGAAAUAAAAAUGGUUUCUCCAAACUAAAAUCUCCCUUUUGACAUGGUCUUGAUUUAUAUUUUUUUCUCAUGAUGGAUCAUUACACCAACCUCUUGCUUUCCUUUCCAUUGUCUCUACUGAAUUAGAACAAGGACAUAAUUUAGUUACUCUGUUAUUCCCAAAGAGCUUCUGAGGCAGAGCUCAAUAAAUAGAUUAUGCAUAUUUUCAUGCACACUUCAUUAUGCAGUACCAUGGGUGUGACCCUUUGCCAAAUCCUUUCACAGCCAGAAGUAGUUUAGAGUGUGAAAUGCCAUGAAAAACAUGGGUACAAAACCAACAACGUGAUAGCUCAAGCAGAUCACUUAGACCAGAUAAUUUGGAGCUCACAGCUAUUUUCUAAAAGGGUGAGAAGGAAGUUCACCUGAACAUUAACAUGCAGUUCAUUUCUUCACUGACUGCAGAAACUCUAACCUGAUAUUCUGCUUAAUGAACUGACAGAUUAUUCCAAAAUGAAUGCCAUUCACUGAAAUGUCGAAGUUUAAAAAUGCUUUCAUUUAAACCAGGGGUUGUCUGAAUUUUCUGGCAAUCAUAUAUAAUUUUAUGUAAUUUCCUUUUUGCUUCUUUUAUAACUACUUGCUCUAAAAUACAACCUUUUUAUGUGUGCAGAUGUCUGGG
ensembl:lncRNA